rnacentral:tRNA from 1 species
GAUUCCGUGGCCUAAUGGAUAAGGCGUCUCACUCUGAAUCAGAAGAUUGCGGGUUCGAGUCCCGUCGGGGUCG